UACGAAGGGGGCUAGCGUUGCUCGGAAUCACUGGGCGUAAAGGGUGCGUAGGCGGGUCUUUAAGUCAGGGGUGGAAUCCUGGAGCUCAACUCCAGAACUGCCUUUGAUACUGAAGAUCUUGAGUUCGGGAGAGGUGAGUGGAACUGCGAGUGUAGAGGUGAAAUUCGUAGAUAUUCGCAAGAACACCAGUGGCGAAGGCGGCUCACUGGCCCGAUACUGACGCUGAUGCACGAAAGCUAGGGGAGCAAACAGG
rnacentral:rRNA from 1 species